rnacentral:rRNA from 1 species
GACGAGCCUCACAAACGUUAUUCGGAAUUACUGGGCUUAAAGGGUGCUUAGGCGGCGCGGAAAGUUGGGUGUGAAAUCCCUCGGCUCAACCGAGGAAUUGCGCUCAAAACUACCGUGCUCGAGGGAGAUAGAGGAAUGCGGAACUUACGGUGGAGCGGUGAAAUGCGUUGAUAUCGUAGGGAACACCGGUGGCGAAAGUGGCAUUCGGGAUCUCAUCUGACGCUGAUGCACGAAAGCUAGGGUAGCAAACGGG